rnacentral:rRNA from 1 species
GGUGGGGGAAUAACUCAGGGAAACUUGAGCUAAUACCGCAUAAUGCAGCGGCUCGACAUCGAGACAGUUGUUAAAGCGGGGGAUCGCAAGACCUCGCGCCUAAAGAGGAGCCUGCGGCAGAUUAGCUAGUUGGUAAGGUAAUGGCUUACCAAGGCAACGAUCUGUAACCGGCCUGAGAGGGCGGUCGGUCACACUGACACUGACAUACGGGUCAG